rnacentral:rRNA from 1 species
UCGUCAAACUGCGGGAAAGCCCUGCCACGACUACCGGGACCCCACCGCCCCAGCAAUGGGAGCGGGUGCCCGCGGCUAAAAGCUGCGGGUGCGGUAAAGCACCGAAGUCUAGGGGCGAUCCGCCGCCAAACCCUCCCCGCACCGGGAGGGCCCAGCUCACAGGCCAGACGGCGAUGGGCGCAGUCGCGCUUAAGAUAUGGUCGAGUGACCCGUCGAGAGGCGGGUGCAACUCAGGAACGUCCGUAGGUGAACCUGCGGAAGGAUCAUU